rnacentral:sRNA from 2 species
GUGGAAACAGAUUGGCAAGAAGAGCCAAUCCAUGGGACUUAAAAGCAUGGACAUGGAGUGAGGUUUGUCUCAAACCUCCUCCAAAACUCAACAGUUCGUCUGAGCUCAGUCAAUGGCUGCUAACUACAGCAAGGCAAUGAUCUAGAGGUAGCAGAGGUUUGGCUAUUGCUUGGCGAACCGGCAAGUCACAAAUCGGCAACCGGCUCAGUCAUGAGUCUU